CCUGGCUCAGGAUGAACGCUAGCUACAGGCUUAACACAUGCAAGUCGAGGGGCAGCAUGGUCUUAGCUUGCUAAGGCCGAUGGCGACCGGCGCACGGGUGAGUAACACGUAUCCAACCUGCCGUCUACUCUUGGACAGCCUUCUGAAAGGAAGAUUAAUACAAGAUGGCAUCAUGAGUCCGCAUGUUCACAUGAUUAAAGGUAUUCCGGUAGACGAUGGGGAUGCGUUCCAUUAGAUAGUAGGCGGGGUAACGGCCCACCUAGUCUUCGAUGGAUAGGGGUUCUGAGAGGAAGGUCCCCCACAUUGGAACUGAGACACGGUCCAAACUCCUACGGGAGGCAGCAGUGAGGAAUAUUGGUCAAUGGGCGAGAGCCUGAACCAGCCAAGUAGCGUGAAGGAUGACUGCCCUAUGGGUUGUAAACUUCUUUUAUAAAGGAAUAAAGUCGGGUAUGGAUACCCGUUUGCAUGUACUUUAUGAAUAAGGAUCGGCUAACUCCGUGCCAGCAGCCGCGGUAAUACGGAGGAUCCGAGCGUUAUCCGGAUUUAUUGGGUUUAAAGGGAGCGUAGAUGGAUGUUUAAGUCAGUUGUGAAAGUUUGCGGCUCAACCGUAAAAUUGCAGUUGAUACUGGAUAUCUUGAGUGCAGUUGAGGCAGGCGGAAUUCGUGGUGUAGCGGUGAAAUGCUUAGAUAUCACGAAGAACUCCGAUUGCGAAGGCAGCCUGCUAAGCUGCAACUGACAUUGAGGCUCGAAAGUGUGGGUAUCAAACAGGAUUAGAUACCCUGGUAGUCCACACGGUAAACGAUGAAUACUCGCUGUUUGCGAUAUACUGCAAGCGGCCAAGCGAAAGCGUUAAGUAUUCCACCUGGGGAGUACGCCGGCAACGGUGAAACUCAAAGGAAUUGACGGGGGCCCGCACAAGCGGAGGAACAUGUGGUUUAAUUCGAUGAUACGCGAGGAACCUUACCCGGGCUUAAAUUGCAGAUGAAUUACGGUGAAAGCCGUAAGCCGCAAGGCAUCUGUGAAGGUGCUGCAUGGUUGUCGUCAGCUCGUGCCGUGAGGUGUCGGCUUAAGUGCCAUAACGAGCGCAACCCUUGUUGUCAGUUACUAACAGGUUCCGCUGAGGACUCUGACAAGACUGCCAUCGUAAGAUGUGAGGAAGGUGGGGAUGACGUCAAAUCAGCACGGCCCUUACGUCCGGGGCUACACACGUGUUACAAUGGGGGGUACAGAGGGCCGCUACCACGCGAGUGGAUGCCAAUCCCCAAAACCUCUCUCAGUUCGGACUGGAGUCUGCAACCCGACUCCACGAAGCUGGAUUCGCUAGUAAUCGCGCAUCAGCCACGGCGCGGUGAAUACGUUCCCGGGCCUUGUACACACCGCC
rnacentral:rRNA from 1 species